GACGAACGCUGGCGGCGUGCUUAACACAUGCAAGUCGAACGGUAAGGCCCUUCGGGGUACACGAGUGGCGAACGGGUGAGUAACACGUGGGUGAUCUGCCCUGCACUUCGGGAUAAGCCUGGGAAACUGGGUCUAAUACCGGAUAGGACCACUGCCUGCAUGGGUGGUGGUGGAAAGCUUUUGCGGUGUGGGAUGGGCCCGCGGCCUAUCAGCUUGUUGGUGGGGUGAUGGCCUACCAAGGCGACGACGGGUAGCCGGCCUGAGAGGGUGACCGGCCACACUGGGAAUGAGAUACGGCCCAGACUCCUACGGGAGGCAGCAGUGGGGAAUAGUGCACAAUGGGUGCAAGCCUGAUGCAGCGACGCCGCGUGAGGGAUGACGGCCUUCGGGUUGUAAACCUCUUUCAGCACCGACGAAGCGCAAGUGACGGUAGGUGCAGAAGAAGGACCGGCCAACUACGUGCCAGCCGCCACAGUAA
rnacentral:rRNA from 1 species